UCUGCCUCACGUAUCUUCAGUAUCCUGUAUCUGCAUCUGGACGGACAGUCUGUUGUUUUCUGCUUUGUAGCAGUUUGUGCAGUCACCAGGGGAACGUGUGCUGUGUGCUGUUCCGCUGCUGGGGUUUUUGUCCUGUAAAUAUAUGCUGGGGGCUGAGGGUGGUGAUGUGUCUUGAGUGUAAACCACCCACAAAAACAUGCCAUGGAAUCAGCCUGUAGAACCUUGGGAAGGCCAAAUGGGCCUUGAGCCCAGAGAGAUGAAGAGUGUGGGAGAGUCUUUAUCCCUGGCCAUUAGAGCAUGGUCAGCUUUUCUACUUAAUAUCACAGUCUUCUCAGGAGUGUUGAGCAGAUGCGAUUCAUCCACUUUACAGGCCAGGACUUUGUUGGUAAGUGAUCUGUCUGAAAUCCUGUGCCCUCAUGGGACCCACCAUUGUUUCCAUUUCUCCAUGUUGCCUUUCUGAUUUGGAACAACCAGUUUCUCAUAUUACAUUUGCAUUUAAGAGUUUGAAUUUUGAAACUAAUUUAAGAAAUACAAUGCUUUGACCAUUAUCCUUAUUUAUAGAGUCUUGUAUCUAAUUAUAAUUUUUUAAAGCAAUGUUGCUGAUUCAGGGGAUAAAUAUUAUAAGCAAAAAAAAAAAAAAAAAAGACUGGAGGCCGUUAAACUGUGGGGGAAGAAAUGGUGGUUUUCAUUGUCAGAUUUUCUCAACCCCAUUGCAUGGACAUAUGGAACUGUGUGUGACAUUUUUACUCUAACCA